rnacentral:rRNA from 1 species
CAUUAUUGACAAUGAAUUGUUACCUCCAGUGCUGGCUUCAUUGCAUGUGCACGUUGGUGGCUUUCAUCCUUAACACCCUGUGAACCUUUGGCCUUAUGCUGGUUUCGGCUAGCUGAGGAUUUAUUUACACAAACUUGAAUGUAAUGAAAGACCCUGUUGUGCGUAAGCACUAGUUAAACAACUUUCAACAACGGAUCUCUUGGCUCUCGCAUCGAUGAAGAACGCAGCGAAAUGCGAUAAGUAAUGUGAAUUGCAGAAUUCAGUGAAUCAUCGAAUCUUUGAACGCACCUUGCACCCUUUGGUAUUCCGAAGGGUAUGCUCGUUUGAGUGUCAUUGUAAUCUCACACUCACAAAUCCUGUUGGAUUAAGGGAGUGGUGGACUUGGGUGUUGCUGCGUUACUGUGGCUCAUCUUAAAUGGAGUAGUGCAACUCUUGGUUGGACAUAGAACAGCGUGAUAAGUAUCUUCGCUGGCUCCUCACUCGCAAGAGAGAGGGUGUGCGAUCGGGAGCUCUGUGCUUCAAACUACACUGUCUUUGGACAAUAUUUGACAACUUGACCUCAAAUCGAGUAGGACUACCCGCUGAACUUAA